rnacentral:rRNA from 1 species
CAGCAGCCGCGGUAACACCGAGGGUGCGAGCGUUAAUCGGAUUUACUGGGCGUAAAGCGUGCGUAGGCGGCUUCUUAAGUCGGAUGUGAAAUCCCUGAGCUUAACUUAGGAAUUGCAUUCGAUACUGGGAAGCUAGAGUAUGGGAGAGGAUGGUAGAAUUCCAGGUGUAGCGGUGAAAUGCGUAGAGAUCUGGAGGAAUACCGAUGGCGAAGGCAGCCAUCUGGCCUAAUACUGACGCUGAGGUACGAAAGCAUGGGGAGCAAACAGGAUUAGAUACCCGUGUAGUCCCUGUCUCUUAUAC